AAACUUUUGUUAAUGUUUCCACCUUUCCUCUUGCCGGUCAUUGCCACCUCAUCGAGGGUCCUUGUGUGUAGUACGGGAGGAAAAGGUGAACGAGAGGAAGGGUGACAUAGUGAUAAUAAAAAUAUA
ensembl:ncRNA Y43E12A.4 ncRNA